CCUGACACUCCACCACAAGUUUUUGUCAUGAACUAAGACUUCUGAACCAUUUGGUAUCUCAAAAGCUCAGCUCUUCACCAGAAGCACUAGAAAGGGGAAGGGAGAAAAUCCCACCUAGCUCUAUCUGAAGAGUGUUGAGCACUUUCAGUGAUACUAGCCAGAGAUGGGCAGUGGUAUAUCAGGUCAACUUCUGACUCCCCUUGCUCUGAGAAUAUAAAACAGAGCACUGAUAAAUCCAGAACCCAUCUCACUUACCAAGCAUCUUACUGAGUGGGAAACAGGGCCAAGCACAUGACUCUAAGGAGCUUGGUAGAGACAACUAGGACACAGGUGUAGUAUUCUUGAUGCCUCCGUCUUGGAAAGUACCAUACUUUGCAACAAAUCGAUGAAAGUUGGAGUAGACCCUGAAGUUAAGAUGCUGAAUAUAAACAAAAGUGAUGAUAGAGGCUACCAAUUCAGGACACUGAAUCUGCUUCUCUGAGAGGAAUCCUAGAGUUAGCCUUUGUAAUAGUCCAGCCUAAACCUGGAUAGAGAAAACCCCUAGUAUCCACCCACUCUAUCAGGAACAAGUCUGGGCAAGCUAAACAAUGUCCAUCCAAUGCCAAGACAUUUUGAUGAUUUAUUUCUGGUCACCAGCCAAAUGUAAAUUGAUAACUUCAACCCUCAUCAGUCUUUAUUCAUGUGUGAGGUCAAUGCCCCUUCUUUUAAAAGCACAAAGGGCCAUUUUGAAGGGGAAAGUCCCACCAAAUCCUGCUGAAACAGUGCCCACAUUUGGAUCAUCUUUCUGAACAGUAUCUUGGUUUGGAAGGCACAGUUGUUACUCAGAUCCCUGAAUACAGCCUGCUGCUCUCUACGGAAGGUCCAUGACAGACAUUACCAGUCAGUCACCGAGCUCCUGCAUUCCAUCAAACAUCCCUUAUCACAGACAUGGUUCAGGGAGUCCCUAAAAUGACAUGGAGUUGUACUCAAGGACCAGAACCUCUGUAAUGGACAAAAUCAUCAUUAAAUAUGGUUAUUUCUGGAUGGCACCAACAGUUUAAUAGUUACAGCUGAUUGUGAGGAAAUUUCCAGUUCCAGUGAUAUGCGGCUUUUUCAUUCAACAGAGUUAAAAUCUUGUUCUAAAGAGGACCUAGAGUUCCACAUUAAGAAACAACGGAAUGGGCCAGAGUAUUGAUACUGAUCAAUAAGCUUCAAGAGGUGGGAAGGAAUUAAUGGGCUUAGAGGUCCUUGGAGACUCUCCCUAAAUCAAGUGCACAGGUAUCUGCAGCAGCAGUUUUUUAUUCUCUGUGUGCCUGUGCCUUUCACUAUUUCUUGUUUUAAACCCAUGGUUCCAUCUAGAGAAAAAGACUGCCUUAUAUAUUGUACAUUUGUUGCACUCUCUUUGACAUGCCAUUUUUGGGGUCAUCAAAUAAAACUCUC
ensembl:lncRNA